GCUGAGAACACUAGCAAGUUUUUGCUGGAAGUCACCAAGAUCAGGACAUCUGUGCAGCUGUAAGAGAUCAACAAUCCCAUCGUGUCUCAUGGCUGUAUUUAUAAAGAGAGCAGCACAUACUUCCUAGGUCCAUGCUGUAUGGCAGCAACAAUGGGCUGAUACUAUUCUACUGUCAUGAUCCAAAAGAGCCCAGAUGCCGUGAAACAACUUUCUACCCAAGGCAGACAAAGCUCACCAUUUUUCCACUUCACUGUUUAUCCCACCGCCUCUGUAAAACCUACACAAUAAAAACAUGCCAAAUGAUGUCUUCA